AAACCGUUCAGGGGUAAACCUGUGAAACCCAAAAGAUCGAAUGAGGAGAUUCAUCGUCAGCAUUUAUAAUAUUAAUACAAAUUAUGAUGUGAUUAUAUAAUCCUCGUGGUUAUUAUUAUUAUACUUAUUUGUAUUAUUUCAAUUGUUUAUGUCGGCGUGCACUUCUCCUCUAGUAGGACGUUGCGACCUGUUAAAUGUUUAUCUAUGGUCUGCAUGGUAGACUUGUGUAUUUUUAAUACGUAAGACCUGUAGAUUCCUGAUAAACUGUUUGACAGUAUAUCUAUGGUAUUGAGCCGCAAAUUUAUUUGCGUUAGACUUCAACACAAGUUAGGUUGUCUUCGAGCAGUACGGACAUGUGCCGUCGUUUGAAGCAAUCGGCUGUUAGUGUUGAAGUCUCUAACUGGCUUAUUUUACCUGUCAGCGAUGCUACUGCUUUGGGUACUUACAGGA
rnacentral:rRNA from 1 species